AGUGAACGCUGGCGGUAUGCCUAACACAUGCAAGUCGAACGGCAGCACAGUAAGAGCUUGCUCUUACGGGUGGCGAGUGGCGGACGGGUGAGGAAUACAUCGGAAUCUACUUUUUCGUGGGGGAUAACGUAGGGAAACUUACGCUAAUACCGCAUACGACCUACGGGUGAAAGCAGGGGAUCUUCGGACCUUGCGCGAUUCAAUUAGCCGAUGUCGGAUUAGCUAGUUGGCGGGGUAAAGGCCCACCAAGGCGACGAUCCGUAGCUGGUCUGAGAGGAUGAUCAGCCACACUGGAACUGAGACACGGUCCAGACUCCUACGGGAGGCAGCAGUGGGGAAUAUUGGACAAAGGGCGCAAGCCUGAUCCAGCCAUACCGCGUGGGUGAAGAAGGCCUUCGGGUUGUAAAGCCCUUUUGUUGGGAAAGAAAAGCAGCAGGUUAAUACCCCGCUGUUCUGACGGUACCCAAAGAAUAGGCACCGGCUAACUUCGUG
rnacentral:rRNA from 1 species